UACAGAGGGUGCGAGCGUUGUUCGGAAUUAUUGGGCGUAAAGGGCGCGUAGGCGGUUCAGUAAGUCGGGUGUGAAAACUUUGGGCUUAACCCAAAGCGUGCAUCCGAUACUGCUGUGACUUGAGUUCGGUAGGGGAGUGGGGAAUUCCUAGUGUAGCGGUGAAAUGCGCAGAUAUUAGGAGGAACACCGGUGGCGAAGGCGCCACUCUGGGCCGAAACUGACGCUGAGGAGCGAAAGCAUGGGUAGCAAACAGG
rnacentral:rRNA from 1 species